GUGACUUCCCCCGUGGUAUUCUUGUGAUAGUGAGCAGGAUCUCACAAGAUCUCAUGGUUUUAUAAUGGGUUUCCCCUUUCACUUGACUUUCAUUCUUCUCCUUCCUGCUGCCAUGUGAAGAAGGAUGCAUUUGCUUUCUCUUUUGCCACGAUUGUAAGUUUCCUGAGUCCUCACCAGCCCUGUGAAACCGUGAGUCAGUUAAACUUCUUUUCUUUAUCAAUUACUCAGUCUCAGGCAGCUCCUUUUUUAUUCCAAUAAUCACUUUAUUUUUUAAAUUUCAUCUUUUAAUCCUCAAAACACUUUUACGUAUUAGAGUCAACCUCUUAAGUAGCAUUUCUUAAGUUACUCUCGUACAGGUGGUAUUUGUUUACAUGAGUAAGUUCUUUAGUGGUGAUUUGUUAGAUUUUUGGUGUACCCAUCAUAAAAAGGAGCCCACAUAGCCAAAGCAAGACUAAGCAAAAAAACAAAUCUGAAGGCAUCACAUUACUUGAUUUCAAACUCUAUUAUAAGGUCAUAGUGUCACCAAAACAGCAUGGUACUGGUCUAAAAAUGGCACAUAGACCAAUGGAACAAUAUAGGGAACACAGAUAUAAACCCAAAUACUUACAGCCAACUGAUCUUUGACAAAGCAAGCCAAAACAUAAAGUGGGGGAAGGACCCCCUUUUCAACAAAUGGUGCUGGGAUAAUUGGCAAGCCACAUGUAGGAGAACAAAACUGGAUGCUCAUCUCUCACCUUAUACAAAAAUCAGCUCAAGAUGGAUUAAGUAUUUAAACUAAGAACUGAAACUAUAAAAAUUCUAGAAGAUAACAUUGGAAAAACCCUUCUAGACAUUGGUUUAGGCAAGGAUUUCAUGACAAGAACCCAAAAGCAAAUGCAAUAAAAUCAAAGAUAAAUAACUGCGACCUAAUUAAAGAGCUUUUGCAUGGCAAAAGGAACAGUCAACAGGGUAAACAGACGAACCACAGAGUGGGAGAAAAUCUUCACAAUCUAUACAUCUGACAAAGGACAAAUAACCAGAAUCUACAAUGAACUCAAAUCAGUAAGAAAAAUACAAACAAUCCCAUCAAAAAGUGGACUUAGGACAUGGAUAGACAAUUCUCAAAAGAAGAUACACAAAUGGCCAACAAACAUAUGAAACAAUGUUCAACAUUGGGCAGUUCUUUAUACCAGCAUGAGAAUGGACUAAUACAGCGACUAUUCUAUAAAAUGCUUGGCAGUUUCCUAUAAAGUUGAACGUGCAGUUGAACAUAUAAAAAAGUAAAUAAAUGAAUAAAUAAAGCCCUUCCCUACCCUUUGACCUAGCAAUUAUAUUCCUCAGGAUUUAUCCAAGAAAUAUUAAAAUAUGUCUACAAAAGGCCGGGCUCAGUGGCUAACGCCUGUAAUCCCAGCACUUUGGGAGGCUGAGGCGGGUGGAUCACGAGGUCAGGAGUUUGAGACCAGCCUGGCCAAUAUGGUGAAAUUCCAUCUCUACUAAAAAUACAAAAAUUAGCGAGGUGUAGUGGCAUGUGCCUGUAGUCCCAGCUACUUGGGAGGCUGAGACAGAAUAAUUGCUUGAACCCAGGAGGCGGAGAUUGCAGUGAGCCAAGAUUGUGCCAUUGCACUACAGCUGUAAAUACAAAAUUCAAUCUACAGCAGGAUAGAUACACACUGUGCAUCAAAUUCGUACAAUGAAAUACUACUCAUCAAUAAAAAGAAGAAAAACUGAUUUCUUUACUAUUUGUAAAUCUCAUAGAUAAUUUGAUGAACAAAAUAAGCCAAAGACAAGAAAGUACAUAUGAUAAGAUUUCCCUUAUACGAAGUUCUAAAGUAUUCAAAACUAAUUUAUAGUGAAAAGAUAAUCUAACUGUGGUUGCCUAGGGUUUGCGGGGGUAUAGGGAGAUAUAAUUUACCCCUAUGGCAAAUGAGAGAGUUCUUUGGUUUGAAGGAAAUUUUCUAUAUCUUAUUAUUGUUAUUCAUUGCACGAGUAUAUUCACUUGUUAAAACUCAUUAAACUCAGUGAAUUUCAAUGUGUGUAAAGAAGUAGACAGGUAGUAAACUCUAGUUAAUAUAUUGAAAAUAAUGAAAUCCAUGUUUCUCACUGCUGAGAGAGUUUCAGUAUUGGAAAGGGGAAAACUAAUAUAUACUAUGUGAUGUUGGAUUGAAAAUAUCAAUAUUUAUUUACAUCAUAUAUAUUUGUGUGUGUGUGUGUGUGUGUGUGUGUGUGUGACAGAGAGAGAGAAAGAGAGACAGAAAGAGAGGGAGAGAGAGAAGGGAGAAAGAAGAAGAGGAAAGGCAGGAGAGAAAAAAAAGAAUAAGCACACCCAGCAUUCAUAUUUAAAUACCAUUUCCCACUAAAAGGAUCCAUGGCUUAAUGGAGAAAUGGUUACCAUUUUCAGGGCUAGAAAAGAGCAAUAUAAGCCUGGAGCAUCUUGUUGCAUUGAGGAAGAUGAGCUCAAAGAAUUAGGGAAAUAUGUCAAAAUGCACAAGUCAGUUUGACAGGGCUCCCUCUUGUCAUAUUCAAAGUAAAUAUUGAAAGGAUUGGAUUGAAAUAACUCAAUAAAGUAAUAAAUCAUAAACCCAUACUCAUAGAAGUAAAUAAAUGAAUAAAUAAAUAAAGCCCUUCCCUACACUAGAGUGCCAAAUAAUAAGCAUAGCAGAAAUGAUAUAUUUGAAAUUAACAGUGGAUGCUAAACUUACAGGGUAGUUGUUGAUUGGAAAGACAUUGUUUCAAAGUAUCUCCAAAAAUCUACUCAUUAACUUCAAAGGAAAAAGUGUAAUAAUAUCAUUCAAUAAUGUAGGUAAUACCACCUGAACCAAAAUAACAAACAUAGCAUAAUCAAAAUUGGGACAAACAAAAUUGUGUCUAAUAAGAAACUCAGAGAAAGACAAAACAUCAUUACUUCUGUUAAUCUAAUCAUGAGGAGGCACUGGACAGACCUAAGGUGGGAGAUAGUCUACAAAAUAACCAGGCCUGUCCUCUUAAAAAAUGUUAAACUCAAUACAUAGAAAGAAAGACUGAAAUAUGACAAUUAAAUACAAUAUGCAAUUGUGGAAUUUGUUUCUGGAAAAGAAAAAUAGCUAUAAAAUACAUUAUUAUGAAACUUCAUUGAAUAUAAUAUUGUCUGUAGAUCGGAUAAUUUCCUUAUUUUUCCUAGUAUUUAAAAUUUUUCCGUGGUUUUGUAAGAAAUUGUAUAAUUUCUUAAGAAAUAUGAACUAAAUUAUUUAAGGUUAAAGAAUCAGAAUACUUUCAGCUUACUAUAAGAUACAUACAAAAUCUGUAUGUAUAAAAUUAAUACACUAUAAGAUACAUACAAAAUCCUGUAUGUGUAAAAUUAAUACACAGAUAUGUAAAUGGUCUAAAAUGAAACAAGCAUUGCAUUUGGAUAAAGGGUAUAUAAGACUUCCUGACACGAUUCUAGCAACUUUCCUGUAAAUUUGAAGCUAUUUCAAAAUAUAAACUAUGCCCCCUGUGAUGGUUAAUAUUAAGGAUCAACUUGAUUGAAGAAUUCAAAGUACUGUUCCGGGGUGUAUCUGUGAGGGUGUUACCAAAGGAGAUUAACAUUUGAGUUAGUGGGCUGGGAGAGGCAGACCCACCCUCAAUCCAGUUAGGCACCAUAUAAUCAGCUGCCAGCCCAGCUAGAAUAAAGCAGGCAGAAGAACAUGAAAGGACUUGACUUGCUGAUUCUUCUGGCCUUCAUUUUUCUCCUGUGCUGGAUGCUUCCUGCCUUCGAACAUCAGACUCCAAGUUCUUCAGCUUUUGGACUCUUGGACUUACAUCAAUGGUUUGCCAGGGGCUCUUGAGCCUUUGACCACAGACUGAAGGCUUCACUGUCUGCUUCCUACUUUUGAGGUUUUGGGACGCAAACUAAUCCACCACUGGCUUCCUUGCUGUUCACCUUGCAGACAACCUACCGUGGGACUUCAUCUUGUGAUGGUGGAUCAUGGCUUAUUUGAGCUGUUGCUCCUCAGUGGACAUCAUAGGAUCUUGCAGAUGUGUAUCAAUCCUUCGCAAGUAGGUGCCCAGGAAGUCCUGGAACUGAGUCCUGGGGCAAGGUUCUGGAAGUUGGGACAAGAAGAUUCCUAGAAAAGAGGAAAACAAUCACUCUAGAACUGUUAUAAGCAUGCUAACCAGGACUUCAGAGAAAGGAAAAAAAAAGGCUGAACCUCGCUGGUGAUUCAGAUGGAUCAUGAGGAUCUUUCAACAAAGCUAAGUUCCCGUCUUUUAACGCAGUUAUUCUCAUACUUUUAUACUGAAAUAUCCAGAAUAGCAAAUGAGUUAAAUAUGUUUUCUGUGGGGUUCUGUACAAAGAAGAUUUAGAGCUUUAUGAACCUAAAAUAACAUAUCACAAGGAGAAAAUUUACUUGAAGUGGGAGACUUGGCUUAAAAGCAUCUAAUAUAAAUUGUAUAUUAUAUUCAAUAAUACAAAAGCAAUGCUUUAUUUAGAAUGAAUUAAAAUGCAUGCUUCAGACAAAAUGCAUGAUGUUUAGCUUUUGAUUUACUGAAUAUACUAUUCAACAGAUGUUUGAGUUACAUAGUUUGAGGAGCACAGGCCUUUGGUAUUGAUGGCUCCUGUUAAAAUAAAAACAUGUUUUCUGAGAGCAUAAUCAUAUGAAACCAGGAGCACAUAUUAACAUAAAACUCAAAUCACUUCCCCUGACUUUCUUCUUUCAAAUGUAAAGAAAGUGGGAAACAGGACAGAUGAAUUUGAAGAAACAGAAGAGCUCAGGAAAGUUCAAAGCAUGAAGCAAACUCAAAAGUAUAUCUAAAUACCUAGGGAGCACCUUCAAAGCACAAGGUACCUGAAGAUGAAACGGCAGAAGUGAAAAGAAUUGCUCGUGUAGUACAGGGCUAAAAUUGUACCUGAAGCAUCUCUGCUGCUAUCCCAGGAGAAGAAGAGUCGACAGUAGCUAUGGUAAACAUGCAUGGAAGCAUCAGGGAAAACAGAAAUUUAGAGAAGCAGAUAGAGUGAGCCCAAGGCAAGAUAAGGGUUUCUGGGUCUGAAUUUCAGAAAAGCCUGACUAUGGAGAGUGGGAGUUCCUGUUUUCUUUCAGUGACUUGCUAAUUUCAAUUUUGUGUGUGUGUGGCAUUAACAGAUUUUUGCCUAACUUGGGACAUUUUUAACAGUAGAGGAACUCUUCUGUCAGUUCUGAUAUGGUAAUUUUAAAACACAUAUUCUUUAACUGAACAUUCAUUAAAUCACUUGGCCAGGAAUCCAAAUAACAAAAUGUCUGUCAUGGAAUUCUGUGUGUAAUAGGAGUUAUGUAACUUGUUUCUUCUUAGUAGAGAGAAUAAAAAGUAAAGUCAAAACCACCCCCAGAUGACCAUUUUUAGCACUUUCAUUUUAUCGGGAGAGGUGAGCAACAUGCAGAAAAUAUAUAUUCUUGAAUUAAUCUCCUUUGGGUACAGAGAGAAAAGAGCUCAUUAUUCUUCUAACUGGCAACGUUUGAUUUUAUUGACACCCUAACAGUAUGUCAAUUGCUCAGUAUAUCUCCCUAGGCUGUAGUCUUGCAGACUUUCUUUUUUCUUUUUUUUUUUAACUUACCAAUUCUAUGAUGUAUUCCCAUGGAUGUCUCUUUUUAUGCUAUUUUACAAUCUAUUUCUAGAAUAAUCAUGGAAAUUUCAAUGGAAACAACAUAUCACAUUCUCUGUCUACUACAUAAGUAUGUCUUUUUUAUUUGUAAAUAGAUCAUAUUUUGCACAUAAUUAGGUAAUACCCACAUAUCUCAAUUUGGCUUAGGAAUUAUAUUGAAAGAUAGAAUUGCAUAAGGGUAGGGAUUUUACUUUUAAAUUAUUUUCAUGUCUCCAUGGAUUGGCUCUGUGCUUUACACCCAGUAGCUGUGAAACAAGUACUUAUUUAAUGAUGAAUGAAUAAAUAAAUAAAUAGUUAAAUGCAGCAACAAAAAUGUUGGUAGAUAUAUAGGAUUGUAGAAUCUAAUUGCUUAGUAGGAUCAUCAAGUUCUACCCAAAUUUGGUGUGGCAAACAGAACAAUGGUCCCUUAAGGAUGGCCUAGUCCUAACCUCCCAAACCUGGAAUAUGUUACCUUAUGUAACAAAGAGACUUUGCAGAUGUAAUUAAGUUAAUGAUCUUAAGACAGAAAUAUUAUUCUAAGUGAACUCAAUGAAAUUACAAUGAACAAUGUUCCUUAAAAGAGGAAGGCAAAAGUUCAGAAUGAAACACACAGACACACAUAAAGUGGCUACGAAAGCAGAAGUAGUGAGAGAUUUGAAGAUGCUACCUUACUAGAUUCAAAGACAGAGGAAGGGGUUAAAAUCUGAGGAAAUCAGGCAAGGCAGCCUUUCGAAGCUGCAGAAGAUGAGGAAAUGAAUUCUCCCUAGAACUUCCAGAUAGAAACAGCCCUACUGAUGCCUUGACAUUAGCUCAGUGAAACGUAUUUUCAGACUCUAACUUCCAGAUCUGUAGGAGAUAAAUUUGUGUUGUUUAAGCUACUACAUUUGUGGCAGUUUGUCAAAGUAGCAAAAGGAAACGUAUAUUUGGUAGGCAUCAGAAUUUCCUGAGCAAUAUAGUGUGAUUACCUUUGAAAAUUCUACUCAGCAGUCCUGGAAUUGCAGCCUGAAAUUUGAAAUUUACUAAGUGCUCCCACUAUAUCUGAGUCAGGAAUUACCUAGGAAACCAUGAUAUAUUGCAUUACACUAAUUUUGUACUUGAGAAAAAGCACAAUGUUAAAAUCUCAAGAACAUUAAUAUAGACUUAAGUACAAUUUAUCAUGUAAAAACAUAUUUGAAAAAGUAAGCCUGAAAAAAAGAAACAACUGAACUAUUAACACUAUAUUCUCUAACUAUAUAUUGAUUUUCUCCUUUUGCUUUUACACAGCGAACCACAUAUACUUUCACAGAGGGUGAUUUGGAUAAUAUGUUCCAUGCAUUGCUCCAAGCAGAAAUUCUCAAUCUAUCAUUUCUGCUUGUAUUAUUUUACACCUCUUAAAGACAUUCACAUUCCAUCACAGGGAGCCAAAAUCAGCCUGUUAUAUCUCUGUUUGCGAAUACCGCAAUACUUACUUUACUUUCUCCUGAAUAGAUUGUUAGUGGUUUUUAUUAUCUCCUGUAAAGAGUGUGAGAAAUGCAUGUUGCAAGGACACUUUUGUUUUAUUCACAUUAUUCUACUGAAUCAUGCUAACCAUAGCAUUACAUCUAUUUAUCUAUCUAGCUAUUAAACAUAUUCAGAAUACCUAACAACUUUAGGGGCAUUCAGUAUAUAGAAUAUGCUAGUAUUUGUUAUUUUCUAAAAAUUAAUAAUUAAGAAUGUCAUUCUAUUAUUGCAUUAGUGACUUAGUUAAAAUUUAGACCAUUAACAAAAAAGAGAUGAAAAAAAAAACAAAAAACAUUAGGCACUAAAGGAGUCCUCAGCAAUGGCUUUUUCAAAAUGAUAAUUUGGCAUCAUAAAGCGGGUAUUUGGUAACCAUACUCUAUUACAGAACAGCAAAUGGAAUUUAUGUUCUAUUUUCCCAUAUCCACUUCUUUACUAUAAUUUAGCAAUCAUUGUAAUUCUUACUAUAUAGUUAUUUCAAAUUUGAUAUGAUUCUUAAAGAUGCUCUGAUAGUAACAUUUUCUUUAGUGCCUCAUGUCACUCUCUCUCUCUUUCUUUAAAAAAUAAGUUGUCUUUACAGGAACAAAUUUCACUAUAGAUGCCUGACUUUCUCCUUUCAAAAUGAUUAUUGAAACUCAUUGAGAUCUGGCACUCUGUGUUUCUUAUUUUUAUUCCGUACGUAGGAAAAAAAGAACUCAGAGACACACAUGGUUUUAAGAGGCUGUGACUGUCAACUCUGCCCCUUCCUAUUGAAUAUUGAAGCCUUUAUGUUAUUGAAUACAUUGAAUAUAUUGCAAAUUGGAACCCCAUUAAUAGGAUUCUAAGAAGCCUUACUACUAGAUCUGGAUUCUAAGCCUCCUUGCUUGUAUGAUAGGUUAUUGUCUGAGACAUUAAGCAACUAGACCUAUGUUGGGACACUUGCUUCACAAGGUAAUGCGAUGUAUUAAUAAUGAGGAAAGAAAAAUUGCCCUGCUUGUGCUAGUGAGGAUCUUGAGCACUCUCUAUUUUCUCUUCACUCCUGCUUUAGUGGUUGCAGAAAAGAUUUUUUUUCUGUCAGAUGUACAUGCAGUAGCAAAAAAUUGAAGCAUCUUUCCUCACUAAUGAGCUGCAAAAUUUAACAGUUUGGGGGAGUCUCCAUGGAAACUUUUUAAUAUGGUGACCUAUGAGUGCUAAAUGUGUAUGAGGUGACAAUUCCUUCUACAUGGAAGACUGUCACAGAUAGCAUAUGGUAGGACUUUAUGAAAGCCACUAAAAUUAUUUCUGCCUCAGUUUCCAUCACUAUAAAGGCAUAAUCAUAUAAUCUCCAGUCAUAAGGAUUACUGAGAUAAUCUUUAAAUUUGCAUUAAAUUCCUUGGAGAUAGGCAUUAUAUAAAUAGGAAGCUCCAUAUUAAAUGAACAAAAUUUCAAUAAAGAGUGGCUACACUUAAUGGAUACAAUGUGGUCUGAAAUUUAAGUAAUUGACCAGAAAUCAGGACUUGGGACCAAUUACUGGACAUCCAAUUUGUGUCAUUUGAGAGAAAUUGCAUAGAACAUUCUUUCCUCAUUUUCAACAUUUACUUAUUACAUGAAGUAGAUAAUUUAACACUAAAUAAGGCUAUAGUUACAUUUUCUCCAUGUGUCACUGCAGGCUGCAAAAAAAAGUAUUAUAUUAAAUUAAUAGUCAGAAUCUUUCCCCAAAUGAUGAUAAUUGGAUCUCUGAUUGAAAGGACACCAAAGAAAUGGCUAGAGAAAAUAUAGCUCUGUCCUCAGUAUAUAGUAUUUUUAAUAAUAAUCUAUAUUUUUAAAGUAUUACAUCAUGUUCACUCCAAGAAGGGAGAAAAGAGCUCAAAACAUAUCUGGUGGCACAUCUGUAGUCCCAGCUACUUGGGAGAUUGAGGCAGGAGGAUCACUUUAGCCCAGGAAUUUAAGGCUGCUGUAAGCUAUGAUUGCACCUGUGAAUAGCUACUGUACUACAGCCUGGGCAAUAUAGGAGGAUACUGUCUCUUAAAAAAACAAAACAAAAUAUCUGACAUUUAGCUUAUAAAUCUCAUGUAUUAAUGGUUCAUAUUUCUGUUAUUCAUGCUGACAUAAUUAUUGUGAAGUCUUUUUGCAUGUGAUAAGAAUCUAUAUUCUUAUUCAAUAUCUAUUAAAUAUAUGGUACUCUGCUAGAGUAUUCUGAUGGACUCAGGGUAGAAAAAUGACUAAAACAACAGCUAUCUGAAUUUCUCUAUCUUAAUCAGUAUGCAUAGUGUUAACCUUAUAUAAGAAUGUCCCUAUAGUUAAUCAUUUGUGGUUUCAUUAAGCAGUAUUGAAGCUUUUAGAAGAAAUCACACAUACUGUGAUUUAAGGAAGCCUGGCAGUUACAACAGAAAAAAGAAGCUGAUUCAUGUAGAAUGUCUUGAAAUUUUGUCACUGGUAAUUUUGGCAAGAACAUUAUUAAUGUUAAGAUUUGUUUAUAACCAAUGAGAACACAUGGACACAGGGAGGGGAACAUCACACACCAGGGCCUGUCGGGGUUGGAGGACCAGGGGAGGGAUAGCAUUAGGAGAAAUACCUAAUGUAGAUGAUGAGUUGAUGGGUGCAGCAAACCACCAUGGCACGUGUAUAGGCAUACACUGUAACAAACCUGGAUGUUCUGCACAUGUAUCCCAAAACUUAAAGAAUAAUUUUAAAAAGUUUUUUUUAAAGAUUUGUUUAUAAAAUGGCAAAUUGCUUAAUCAGGGGAAUCCUCAUUGAGUUGAGAAGUAUGAGCUGUGAAGUAUGUUUUGCUGGAAAUAAACUUGUAAGCCGCUACAUAUAUAUUCUCCAAACAGAAAUAAACGCAAACAUCAUUUACCUGGAGGACAGGUUGAGAAUGAGUUAUAGCCUAACAUGACAUACAUAAGAAACUAAAAAAAAAAAAAAAAAAAAAAAAAAAAAAACAGAAUGAGGAUGAUACAUGAUCCCAAAAUAGAAGUAAGCAUUUUUUGGACAGAAAAGAUUCUGAAAAACUUGUGUCCCAAUGGUUCAUCCUUGAAUUGUAUCAUUGCAACUACCCCUCCCUCAUACAUAUACCAUGUCCUCUUCAUGAUUCUGAGAAAUUUUGAAGACCAGAUUCAAGGGGGUUCACAAAUGCCACUAAGACCUUCAUGUUACUAAGAAUGAUUAGUAUAUCAGCCUGGAGAAGCACUUGCUACAGGUUAGGCAAAUUAGGGUCCCCUUAUAGAAGAUGAUUAAAGUAGACAGAAGGAAUAAAAUUAACGUAUUAUUCAAUAAAUCUUCCUUAUGUCUCAUCUGGCUAAAUAAAAGUCCUGGGAAUAUAUUUAUAACUAACCAUUAUGCAAGUUCUUUCAACCCAAAAUAUUUUCUCCCUAUAUUAACUCUAUGUACUCCCCUACACACACACAUAUAUCUCCUAAACUUUUUAAACUAUUCUAAGUUAUGUGCUAGGAAUUGUACUAGGCAUUUUACAAAUAUAAAUUCACGCUAUUUGUACAUUUAGAAAAGUAAGAUACAAGAUUAUUUUUAAUCAAUAUUGACAAAAUUUAUCUUCUUUUUAAACAUAUUGACUAAAUAGUUCAGAGUUCAAAGAUGAAUUAUGAUAAAGAGUGUUUAGCAAAAUGUUUACACAUAAAAUACUUUGAACUCACUAGCAAUGAAGCAAAUAUUAUAGCCCGAAGACUCUCAGGAAAUUUAAUCCAGAAUGGAGGAUACUAAGUGAUGUAUGGAACUGCUUAUUCUACUUAAACAUCAAAACUCCACAUGAAUCUUCGAAGUGUAUCUCUGCGCCUUAAAUGAAAACACAGUUUUGACAUUGUUUAUUGCCUCUUGAGAGGAAACUCUGCUCAAUUCAUAAGUGAAUCAUGAAUUACCCAAUUUUUUCUUCCAUGGGCUUCUCUCAGGGUGCCCCUUGGUUUAACUUCAUUAUGUACAAACAUGGUAUUACCUUCCAUAACACAAUAUUUCAUAUACAGAGUGAUAUAUCAUUUAGAUGACUCUUUAGACCAUCGUUUUGAAAGCUACAGUUUUCUGAGCUAACAAUUAUAUUAUAGCUAUAUAGAAAUAAUAAAACCUUUUUUUUUUCUUUUUUUGAGAUGGAGUCUCACUAUGUCGCCCAGGCUGGAGGGCAGUGGCGCGAUCUCAGCUCACUGCAACCUCCGCCUCUCAGGUUCAAGCGAUUCUCCUGCCUCAGCCUCCCGAGUAGCUGGGUCUGCAGGUGCGUGCCACCAUGCCCAGCUAAUUUUUUGUAUUUUUAGUAGAGACGGGAUUUCACUCUGUUAGCCAGGCUGGUCUCCAUCUCCUGACCUCGUGAUCCGCCCACCUCGUCCUCCCAAAGUGCUAGUAUUACAGGUGUGAGCCACUGCGCCAGGCCAGUAAAAUCUUUCUUAAUUAAACAGCCCUAUAUUGUGCAACUAUAAUAGAAUAUGUGAUAACUAAAUUCAAAGGGUGAGAGAAUCAUAAAAGUUAUCGUACAUGCCUAAACUUAUGUACCAAAAUGUGCUAUGUACAUGCAUACAACUAAGUGUACUAGGCUUUCAUCAGAAGUCCCUUUUAGUUAUCUGCAGCUGCUUUAUUCCUUUUUGUAGAUCCCUUAUAAUUAUAAAAAUAUUUUUAUAUACAUUCGAAAUAUCUUAUGAUUAUAUAUAGUUACACAUAUUUGAUAUAUAUUUAUAUAUGUAUUACAGCGAUGUAUUUCUGAUCAGUGUUUUCUAACAACCACAAAUAUGUGGAAUAUAACUUAUACAAAAAACAUUUUGGAUGACAUAACAACUCAGAAGUAAUAAUUUUCCACACCAAUGACCUGUCUCUACUUCUAAUAUAAAGAAGGCAUCAAGAAGUAUGCUUUCUUAAAUAUGCUCCCCUUCAGCUGACAGUUUAUUGGCUACCAAGACCUAUAGUGAGGAGCAAAUAUACAUUUCUUUAUUUAGAAUAUUGACCCUUGGGAGAGGUGUAUUUCAAAUGCAUUUUUUUUUUUUUUGCAGGCUUGAGUGGUUAAGCUUUUUAACGAUAUAAUUCUACAGAGAUCAUUUCUUCCAAUUUUCUUUAAUUUUCAGUUAAGUAAUCUGUGACCUACUAUACCUAUUCAUUUGGGGAGAAUUACAAUGCAAUUUCAAUUUCAAUUGAAGUCUCUGACCCUUAUUUACUGAAUCAUAAGUAUUUCAUCCGAUUGUAUUUGUGAGCCAAGAACACUUUCUACUUAUUUGGGGAUGCUUCUUUUUAUUAUUUCCUCAGGAUAAGACAAACUUAGUGAGUGGAAGACUAGUUGUGUGGGAGAAUAAUAACUUAUAAGACAGGUUUUCACCCAAGUGCCAUAGAAAGACUGUCAUACAUUGAUGAUGAUGUGAAAUGUGAAUUUAAGGCCUAUUGUUUAAUCCAUUGCUCUUUUUAAUACAUUGACUUUUUAGUGUGGUAGGGCAGCCGAGAAGUUAGCAAUAUUUCAUUAUUUCUCAAGUAAAUCAACUCAAAAGAUCAUUACCAAAAUAGUAAAAUUCCACGUAUUUUCACUAUCUGCCAAGUACUAAAACCCAGCGUCAUCUUGUCAUAAAAAAAUAGCAAUAUAUUGGAAUCCUUUUUGAAGUCUUCAGUGCCCAAAGUAUGGAAGAGAUCAGUUAACAAAAAUGCAUUAAGAGGAAGAAUAAUAGGAUUUAUGGAUCUACUUUUAGUUUUGUUUUGUUUUUGCAUUUUCAUAAUGUUUAUUGAUAUGGAGAUAUUACUUUUAAACAUGCUAUAGUUUAGCUUACAUUUAGAAUACAUUUCCUGUAAAUGAAAAUGCACAAUAGUAAGCAAAGUUACUAGUACGGAUUGACCAUUGAAAUCCCAAUGAGGGUUCCAGGAGAGUAAGCCCUUGGAAAAGUCUCUUGUUAUGAUGGAACCAGGAAAGUCACAAGCAUGACAAGGAAUAUGUUCUGUGAAAAGAUGCCCCACGUGUCCAAAUGCCUGGAGACACUGGAUGAUCUUUUUUCCAGAAACAACAACAGCAGUUUUAAAUAUGAUUCAGCAAUCCCAGUGAACUUCGAUAUUCAAAGAAUUAGAAAUCAGUAUAUUGACAUGACAACUACACUUCCAUGUUUAUUGCAGCACUAUUCACAAUAGCCAAGAUAUGGAGUCAACCUAAGUUGAUUAUCAACAUAUCAACAGAUGACUGGAUAAUGCAAAUGUGGUUUAUAGCACAAAGAAAUGCUAUUUAGCCUUAACAAAGAAAUUAUUGUCAUUUGCAGCAUCAUAGAUAGAUCUAGAUAACAUUACACUAAAUGAAAUAAACCAGGAACAGAAAGACAAGUAUUGUAUGAGCUCACUUAUAAUGGGGAAUCUAAAAAAAGUAGAAAUCACAGAAGCAGAGAGCAGAAUGGUGGUUACUAGAGGCAGGGGGUGGGAGACAUGAGCAAGGAAAGGGGAGAUGUUAAUCAAAGGAUACAAGGUUUCCUUUAGACAGGAGAAAUGAGUUCUAGUGAUCUACCGCACAGCGUAGUGCCUAUAGUUAAUAAUAAUGUAUUGCAUAUUUGAAAAUUGUUAAUAGGUUUUAAAUGUUCUCACCAAAAAUGAAUGAUAAAUAUAUGAGGUGAUAAUAUGUUAAUUAGCUACAUUUCAUCAUUCCACAGUGUAUACAUAUAUCAAUACAUCACAUUUUGCCCCAUAAAUAUAUAGAAUUAUUAUUAGUCAAUUAAAAUCAAAUAAAAUUUUGAAGGGCAGUGCUUAAAUUUCAUUAUUAUGCAAUAUACUACCUAUUUGAUCUUUGUCCAGUCACCCAGCCUCACUGUAUCAUUGUUCUCCUCUCCAAAAAAUAAAAUGCUAACCAAUUAAAGAGAAGCCAGAGGAAAGCAAAUAGAAGCAAAUUAAAGUAUGUUGCAUAUACAUAGUUAAAUUAUGAAUUAUCUACUUGUAUGUGAAUAGGACCCUCCGACAUGCACUCGUAUUUUUAAAAUAAAACAUAGCCUAGUGUUCCCCUGUUGGAAUUAUAAGCAUGUGCCACUCAGAAAUCAUAUGUCAGGAAAUAACUUUGCUCUGAAAACGUUCCAUAUUUUUUUCUUUUUAUAGAGUUCUGGACUACUUGGUAAUUCCACUUAUCAUUUGACAGAUUACUUAUCUGUGACCUGUUGUACCUAUUCAUUUGGAGGACAAAAUCAGUAGCCUCUUUAAGUGCAGUAAGAUUAGUGAUGACUUUGUUUGUCAUCACAAACCAAGACUGUUUUCAGGACAGUAAGUCCCACACCUAGGUUUCAGUGGAAUUUGAUUUGUAAGAACAAAUCAGUGCUUUGGAAAUGUCGUUCUUAUUUUAAUGAGUUUAUAAUUAAGCAGAACACAGGUUGUUUUCUUUGCAGAAUCCCACCCACAAGGAUUCUAUUGAUUUACUGUUUAAUUAUAUGAAAUAGCAUGUCAGGGUGAAGGUAAAGCAGAAAACAAAUUAUGAUCUAAUCUAAAAUGUAGAUCUAUAUUAGAAUGAGACUGCUGACCUGUGAAAUACAUUCAAAUAGUAUUUACCAAAAUCAUUCCUAUUGUCAAAAUGAUGAAGAGACAUUUUCUCUGGGUGUUGCAGUGGGGACUGAGACAGCAGAAGUCUCCAAAGGUAAUUGUGAACUUAAAACUCUAAAAUAAUUUCCACAUAUUUGCAUCACAAAAUAUAUUUUUCAUUGUAGAAAGAAUAAUUUAAGUCCCUCAAAGUUUUUUAAAUUAUUACUUAUAGAGGAUAUAGGUUCGGAGACAACAGUGUUGAAUGUAGAAGAACUACUGAAAUUAAAUGCAAGAAUAUUGAAGAUUACGGCUGAGCCUGUUUGUAGUUGCAAAUGUUAUUGCUUUCACUAAAAUUACUUUGAGACUAUUAUGUUGCCAUGAACCUUAUUCAAGUGGCAAGUUUUCUCACCCAAAGUAUGUUCAUCUUUCUCAAAUGAAAAAUUAUCCACAUAUAGAACAGGUAUUUACAAUCAUAAAGCAAAAAAUUAGUUAUUAUAUUUUAAUUAUUAUACCAGGUCCUAUAGGUAGCAUCCACUGAUGUAGCAUCAUUGAAUACUACUUUAUAUAAGACCUGGCAAAAUUACACAUAGGAAUUAGAAUUUUAAAGUGAACAAAACAAUUCCUUUUCUAUAAAAGCUAAAAAUGGCAUUCAAAUGUCAUUAACAUAAAUUAACAUAUAUGCAGAAUAUUGUAAGACCACCAAGGAGGACUCUACAAAGAAGAGGUAAUUAUUUUUAUAUGAAUGGCAGCUUAUUUUCAUAAUAAUAAUUAAUCACAUAUAAUCAUUGGCUUCAUGUGAUGUCCAUUUGUGAAAUAACAUGAUAGAACAUAAAAUGUGUGCUAAGGGUAGAUAAUAUUGGAAAUCUAGAAUAGUACUCAGUUGAGGAGAACCUUGAAGGUCAAACUAAGCCACUAGAUUAUUUUUACUUCCUUGGGGAACACAAAAAGUUUUGUUUACUCUUUCCAACUCUCCGGGAAAUGGCCUGUGUAAAGAAUGCUUAAGAAGUUUGAUCUGAAAAUACAUCUAGAAUAGUCCUAACUGGGCUGUUCUCAGGUACCUUACUUGGAGAUUCCAUAUGAUUUCAAAAGCAUUUCAAUGAUGAAAAGUCUAAAAGAACACAUCCCAAAGAAUAGGCAUGUUAGGAAAUGACUCAGAAUAUCCUACAACUGAUACUGAGAAAGAUGUAGAUCACAGGCUAGGCAAAAUUUUCUGAGGGGUGUGUGGGCAACUAUUAUGUUUUGUUUUGUUUAUUGUAUGUGUGUGUGUGUAUGUGUGUGUCUAUAUAGUUAUUGGAGCACAAGCAAGGGCAUACAUACUCUGGGGGAAAAAAAUCUUCCAAACUCCUUUUACAAGGCCAGCAGUACCCUCUUGCCAUAACUAGGUAAGGAUACUACAAGAAAAUAAAAUUAUAGACCAAUAGGCCUGAUUAAUGUAAAUGCAAAAACUCAAAAAAAAAAUCAAAUUCGGCUUCACUUUAAAAGGAUUAUGCAUCAUGAACAAGUGAAAUUUAUCCCUUGGAUGCAAGGAUGUUCAACAUGUGCAAAUCAAAAAAUGUGAUACACCAUGUUAACAGAAUGAAAAAUAAAAAACAAAUGAUAAUCUUAACGCAGAAAAAGUAUUUGGUAACAUUUAAUGUCUUUUCAUAACAAAAAAUUUCAACAAAUUAUGUACAUAAACAAUGUACCUCAACAUAGUAAGUGCCAUAUACUACAUAUAAUAAGCCUGUAACCAAUGUCAUAUUCAAUGUUAGAAAUCUGAAAGCUUUUCGUCUAUGAUGAGAAACAAGAUUAAGAUGCUCACACUUUCUACUUCUGUUCAAUAGAGUACUGGAAGUCCUACCCAGUCUAACUAGGCAAGAAGAAGAAAUAAAAGUCUUCUGAAUCAGAUAAGAAGUAAAAUUGACUCUGUUUGCAGGUGACAUGAUCUUAUUUAUAGAGAACCAUAAAGACUAUUGGAAAAAACUCUCAAAGGUAAUAAAAAAAUUAAUUAAAAUUGCAUAAUACAAAGUCUACAUUAAAAAAAUUAGUUGCAUUUCCAUACUGUAACAAACUAUUCAAAAGAGAAAUUAAGAAAACAAUCUCUUACAAUAGCAUUAAAAAUAAUAAAAUGCUUAAGAAUAAAUGGAAGCAAAAAGAUCUGUACACUGAAAACAAGAAAUAUAUGGAAAAAAAUGAAAAAGACUGAAAUAAAUAAAAAAAUCAUAUGUUCAUGUACAGGAAUAAUUAAUACUGUUGAAAUGCUCAUAAUACCAAAGUGAUCACGUUGUCAAGAAAACUAUUCUACCAUUAGUAAUGUGUAUAAACAACUGUAAGAACAUAGAACAUUUUUAUUUUAUAAAAUUACUGAUUUAAAUGAACCAUUUAUAUAUCUUGUAACUUUGAAUUCUAAAAUUCUAGAGUAUUAUGCCUAAAUUAUAUCUUAAAAUUCAUUUUGGUGAAAUGGUGUUUGAAAAUAAAUGUAUAUCUAAGCUAG
rnacentral:lncRNA from 10 species